CCCGCACAAGCGGUGGAGCAUGUGGUUUAAUCGAAGCAACGCGAAGAACCUUACCAGGUCUUGACAUCCCGAUGCUAUUUCUAGAGAUAGAAAGUUACUUCGGUACAUCGGUGACAGGUGGUGCAUGGUUGUCGUCAGCUCGUGUCGUGAGAUGUUGGGUUAAGUCCCGCAACGAGCGCAACCCCUAUUGUUAGUUGCCAUCAUUCAGUUGGGCACUCUAGCGAGACUGCCGGUAAUAAACCGGAGGAAGGUGGGGAUGACGUCAAAUCAUCAUGCCCCUUAUGACCUGGGCUACACACGUGCUACAAUGGUUGGUACAACGAGUUGCGAGUCGGUGACGGCGAGCUAAUCUCUUAAAGCCAAUCUCAGUUCGGAUUGUAGGCUGCAACUCGCCUACAUGAAGUCGGAAUCGCUAGUAAUCGCGGAUCAGCACGCCGCGGUCGAAUACGUUCCCGGGCCUU
rnacentral:rRNA from 1 species